GAUCUGGAUAAAAAUGCUGGUCAUCCAAACCUCAGUUCCACAAUCAAUGCCUGUGAUUCAUGACAGUUGGUGGGCUAUCUGAGAAGCUGGAGGUUUCAUAAGGGAGGAAUGGAGGAGUUCUUGAUGGAACUGCUGCUCAUGGGAUUAAGGAUACGUAAAAUGUACAAUAGAACCUGACUACUUAAAGCCAGCUGCCACCACCUGACAGCUGUAUCCCAGACUGAAAAAUCCUUAAAUGUUAAGCUGAAGGUAAUUUAAAACAUCUCCAAUGACCAACAAUUGAAUCAAUCAUGCCUAUGUUCUAAAGCCUCCAUUAAAAAAAUCAAUUUGUUACCUAUUUAAAAAAAAUCAAAUACAG